AGUGAACGCUGGCGGUAGGCCUAACACAUGCAAGUCGAACGGCAGCACAGUAAGAGCUUGCUCUUACGGGUGGCGAGUGGCGGACGGGUGAGGAAUACAUCGGAAUCUACUUUUUCGUGGGGGAUAACGUAGGGAAACUUACGCUAAUACCGCAUACGACCUACGGGUGAAAGCAGGGGAUCUUCGGACCUUGCGCGAUUGAAUGAGCCGAUGUCGGAUUAGCUAGUUGGCGGGGUAAAGGCCCACCAAGGCGACGAUCCGUAGCUGGUCUGAGAGGAUGAUCAGCCACACUGGAACUGAGACACGGUCCAGACUCCUACGGGAGGCAGCAGUGGGGAAUAUUGGACAAUGGGCGCAAUCCUGCUCCAGCCAUACCGCGUGGGUGAAGAAGGCCUUCGGGUUGUAAAGCCCUUUUGUUGGGAAAGAAAAGCAGCAGGUUAAUACCCCGCUGUUCUGACGGUACCCAAAGAAUAAGCACCGGCUAACUUCGUG
rnacentral:rRNA from 1 species